rnacentral:rRNA from 1 species
GACGAACGCUGGCGGCGUGCCUAAUACAUGCAAGUAGAACGCUGAAGGAGGGGCUUGCUUCUCUGGAUGAGUUGCGAACGGGUGAGUAACGCGUAGGUAACCUGCCUGGUAGCGGGGGAUAACUAUUGGAAACGAUAGCUAAUACCGCAUAACAGUAGAUAUCGCAUGAUAUCUACUUGAAAGGUGCAAUUGCAUCACUACCAGAUGGACCUGCGUUGUAUUAGCUAGUUGGUGAGGUAACGGCUCACCAAGGCGACGAUACAUAGCCGACCUGAGAGGGUGAUCGGCCACACUGGGACUGAGACACGGCCCAGACUCCUACGGGAGGCAGCAGUAGGGAAUCUUCGGCAAUGGACGGAAGUCUGACCGAGCAACGCCGCGGGAGUGAAGAAGGUUUUCGGAUCGUAAAGCUCUGUUGUAAGAGAAGAACGAGUGUGAGAGUGGAAAGUUCACACUGUGACGGUAUCUUACCAGAAAGAGACGGCUAACUACGUG